UGUUUGCGGAGCUUGUGCAGUCUCAUGCCGAGUGGCCGGGCGCGUCAUUACCGCGCCGCCAGGCGCCGGGCUGAUCAUUGGGCAUGGGGGGUUAAUUAGGGAGGAUUAAUUAUGGGGUUAAUUGGGGAGGUUAAUUAGGGGGUUAAUUAGAAGGGGGUAAUUAGCAGGGGGGUUAAUUCGGGGGUUAAUUAGGGGAUGGUUAAUUGGGGAGGUUAAUUAGAGGGGGUAAUUGGGGGGGGUUAAUUAGAGGAAGUUAAUUAGAAGGUGGUUAAUUGGGGGGCUUAAUUAGGGGAAUAAUUAGGGGGUGGUUAAUUGUGGGGGUUAAUUAGGGGUGGUUAAUUGGGGAGGUUAAUUAGAGAGAGUAAAUUAGGGAGUUGUUAACUGGAAGGUGGUUAAUUGGGGGGGGUUAAUUAGGGGAAUAAUUAGGGGGUGUUAAUUAGGGGGGGUUAAUUAGGGGUGGUUAAUUAGGAGAUGGUUAAUUGGGGAGGGUUAAUUAGGGGGUGUUAAUUAGGGGGGGUUAAUUAGAUAAGGAUAAUUAGAGGGGGUAAUUGGGGGGGCCUAAUUAGGGGGUGGUUAAUUGGGGCUGGUUCAUUAAUUAAAGGUGGAUAAUUAAUUAGUGGGGGGCUGUGGGAUAAAUGGGGGCGCAGUGAGGGUGCAAUGACACCGCCCGGCCACUAGGGGGCGCUAUAGGAACUGUAUAAUAAGCUGCAAUGGCACCGCCCGGCCGCUGGGGGCGCUAUAAGGAUUAUAAGGAUGCAGUAACACCGCCCGUCCGCUGGGGGCGCUAUAAGGGUUAUAAGGGUGCAGUAACACCGCCCGGCCGCUGUGGGCGCUAUGGGGGCUAUAAGGAUGCAGUAACACCGCCCGGCCGCUGGGGGCGCUGUGUCGCACCUUGAUGACGAGUUUGCAGGCGAAGUAGAACAGCGCCACCACGCGGCCCCAGUUGAACGUGUUGUCCGCGAACAUUUCCUUGGCGACCCGGAAGAAAACCUCGCGGGGGGCGGUGCAGCCCACCUGGGAGAUCAUCCUGCCAAUGGGGAGACAGAAAGCAGGUCACGUGGUUCGGCGAGAGGCGGGGCCACAGGGGUCAGCUCCACGUUGCCGUCCAGCUCGUCUCCCACCCUCCUGAGCAGCUCCCCCAGUUUCUGGGUCUGGGGGCUCCAUUCCUGCUGCCCCCCCAGCGCCGCCCGGCCCAGCUCCCGCACGGCCGGGUCCUCACAGCGCUGCACGCGGUCACGGACGAAGCUGAAUAUGAUGGGGGGGCACAGUCAGACCCCUCCCCUUUAAUAUAUGGGACCCCAACCUGCCCCAUUGGAUGCAUUGCCACCAUCCAAAAUGGCCGCCAUCCCCCUGUAUAACGUCCCAUAGGACCCCCCCCCGA
rnacentral:lncRNA from 1 species